rnacentral:rRNA from 1 species
GACAGAGGAUGCAAGCGUUAUCCGGAAUGAUUGGGCGUAAAGCGUCUGUAGGUGGCUUUUUAAGUCCGCCGUCAAAUCCCAGGGCUCAACCCUGGACAGGCGGUGGAAACUACCAAGCUUGAGUACAGUAGGGGCGGAGGGAAUUUCCGGUGGAGCGGUGAAAUGCAUAGAUAUCGGGAAGAACACCAACGGCGAAAGCACUCCGCUGGGCUGAUACUGACACUGACAGACGAAAGCUAGGGUAGCGAAAGGG